UUCUGGGUACUGAAAUGUUCGUGGAAGGAUUACGUGGGGGAAGGGUUACGUGCUUUGAGAGAGAGAAUGUAGUUGUGGUGGCGGCAGCGGCAAAGAUUCUCGUCGUGAUUGGCGUCACUGCCAGUGGCUCCAAGUGGGUGGAGCGGCAAGCAUGGAUAUGGAUGCUAGAGUGUCUCACGUGCUAAUAGCCAGUUUACACAAAGUAAAGUAAAGUAGAUAUGUACAUAUCUUCUUU
rnacentral:lncRNA from 1 species